ensembl:lncRNA
GUGCGUUCUUGUCAUAUUGAUUUCAACCCUGUCUCCAACAGUGAGAAUCACUUAAGUCGGAAUUGGCAAACGUGAAUAUUUAGAUACACAGAACCAAUAGAGUAAUAAAAAGGUUUUGAUUGACAUCGGGAAGAUUUCCAAAAAGAUGGAUUUAUUUUGAACUUAUCCUGAAUGAAGACUCCGGGCGCUUAAGACUGCUCCCUUUCUACUGCACCAACACGUCUAUCUGCCCUCAGGUUUGUCUACCUGUCUGUCUCUCCUAAGGUCUGUCUACCUGUCUGUCUGUCUGCCCUCAGUGUCUGGGCUGGUCUGAGGUUGGUCAUGUGAUCAGGGUUUACCAGAAGAGAGUCUUUCGUAGGGAUGUCAUCAAGAAGCUCCUCCCGGACCACUUCCAUGCACUCCUGCAUCGCCUCGACAAAACCCUACACGACUGUGCUCAGUGUCCGAAACGCUCCAAAGAAGUCCUUCAGUUUGAGAAGAAAAUCAAGAGGUUCCUGAGGAAGAGGAGGGAGGAAGGUGUGUUCAAGGCGGUGAGAGAGUUCCCCUUCGUCCUCCGAUGGGUCGAUGAGUUGAGGGAAACUCUUCAUCAUUGUUCCUGAUGAGGGGGACUCCAGAGUCCCUGAUGAUGAAUCAUUCAAUCUAUUUAUUUUAUUAGGUUUUAAAAAGCAGUAUUCAAUAUUUUUUUAUUUAUUUUAUUUAAUUGUCAAUGAAUAAAUUA